rnacentral:rRNA from 1 species
UACGUAGGGCGCAAGCGUUAUCCGGAAUUAUUGGGCGUAAAGAGCUCGUAGGCGGUUUGUCGCGUCUGCCGUGAAAGUCCGGGGCUCAACUCCGGAUCUGCGGUGGGUACGGGCAGAUUAGAGUGCAGUAGGGGAGACUGGAAUUCCUGGUGUAGCGGUGAAAUGCGCAGAUAUCAGGAGGAACACCGAUGGCGAAGGCGGGUCUCUGGGCCGUAACUGACGCUGAGGAGCGAAAGCGUGGGGAGCGAACAGG